UGUGAAGCCUUAUCCCCAUGUCUCUUACACUUCACACCACUGAAAUCUGGUUAAAUACAGACACAGACUCCGGUGGAAUGAAGGAUAGAACACAUGGGAUAAU
rnacentral:miRNA from 1 species